GCUUUCCCAGUAACAGCCUGUGAGGUGUGUGAGACACUGACAGUUUUUCACCCAACCGCCAGCUGCAAAAGUGAGGUUCCAGUGAGGACUUCCUGACUACCUGGAACUGUCUUACCCAAAAUUAUGUAGUCCUUUCAAUAUGCAUGAUUAAAAACCAUGUGGCCGCAGCACGCUCUCUGCAGAGACUCAUGAGUAAAAGCCAGAAGACAGCCAGCCCAUCACACACACUGCAAGUUCCCAGUACUGUCCUCUGAAAUUACCUGGAAACAAUGACAAGGAGCAAUGAGCUUUCCCUACACCCAUUCCCCAUUCCCGUUGUAGGGAAGAGAACGUGCAAGGCCAACAUAAGGAGACCCCAUGCAAACUCAGGAGGAGCUUCCGUGAGUGCUGAGACGUCUCUGUGCCGGGAGGGUGAGUGCUCUGACUCCACAUGGAGA